GCUGCUUGGACAAUCCUAAAGCCAAUGCCCUGUCUUGCAAUUCAGAAACACUUUUUGUUAUAAAUUGUCUUCUAGGAGGAACCUGUUAAUCAUCAUUGGAAAAAAAACCUAUAGUCAUGGAGAAUGCUUCAUGAGGAAGGAUCCCAGAAAACUUCUUUUAGGUGAAAUGUUCCAGAAUGGAUCUGACAUUGGUCAAUAUUUACCAUAAUCUCAAGGAGUACUGAAGUCUGUGAGACAGUUUGUAAAACCAAAGGAUUUACUUUUCUGGAACAAUUCUAGAACAAAUUUCUUUAGAAGCAUUUUCUAGAAAAAUGUUCAUAAUCAGUUUGUAUACUUGGCACUCCAGAUAACUCCUGAUUUCCUUGAUGGAGGAACUUGUUGGUCUCAAAAACCUUAUGCUAUUUUUCUGAUGGUAUAUUGACCAUCAAAACUUCUAUGCUUCUGCUCUUCUGUAAAUAAGGUUAGUUGGCUGGUUCAGUUCUGGGGAUUAUGCCUCUGUAUGUGUCUUUGAGGUCAACACUUGGGAUGAAAUGMAAAGAUUCUCAAGUCUUUUGAUAUUUUUCCUAGCAGAAAAGUGUUUUUCUAUUAUUGGGGAUGAUUAUAUGCCUGUUACUGUUUAUCUCUAU